UCUCAAACCAAAAUUCACCGUUUUUAGGGUUCUAUCUUCUACACUUCUCUGUACAACUCUGUUUCCUAGCAAAUCCUACAACGCCACUCAACUCUUCCCUCCUCCCAAUCCCAUAAUCUAAGUUAUUUUUGUUGAUAAACUUACUCUGAUUUUUCUUUUGUUUCAUUGAUUUUGUCGAUUUUAAUCUGUUAUUGUUUGCUUUGGUGUCUAGGAUUUAGGUCCAGAAAUGGCCACAACUCAGCUCACAGCGUCCUCAGUGUCAGUUUCAGCCAGAAACUUGGCGUCUUUUGAAGGUUUAAGACCUUCCACAGUCAAAUUUGCAUCUUUCGGGACAUUGAAGGCGGGUGCUCUUGCUCAACGAUCUUUUCGGGGCUUGGUCGUGAAAGCGGCUACUUUGGUAGCCCCAAAGUACACUUCGAUUAAGCCUUUGGGUGAUAGAGUGCUAGUUAAGAUUAAGGUCGCAGAGGAGAAGACUGAUGGUGGGAUCUUACUUCCAACCUCUGCGCAAACAAAGCCUCAAGGAGGUGAGGUUGUUGCUGUUGGAGAGGGGAAGACAAUUGGGAAGACCAAACUUGACAUUUCUAUUAAGACUGGCACCCAGGUAGUUUAUUCCAAGUAUGCAGGGACUGAGGUGGAGUUCAAUGGUUCAAGUCAUCUUAUAUUGAAGGAGGAUGAUAUCGUCGGUAUACUCGAGACGGAUGAUAUCAAGGAUCUCAAGCCAUUGAAUGAUAGAGUAUUUAUAAAGGUAGCCGAGGCUGAAGAGAAGACUUCUGGAGGCUUGUUGCUGACAGAGGCAACCAAAGAGAAACCUUCUAUUGGCACUGUGGUAGCAGUUGGGCCUGGAACUGUUGAUGAGGAAGGCAACAGGAAACCCCUAUCCGUCUCCCCGGGAAACACAGUCUUGUACUCAAAGUAUGCAGGGAAUGACUUUAAGGGAAGUGAUGGUACCAACUACAUUGCACUAAGGGCUUCUGAUGUGAUGGCAGUGCUCUCUUAGUUAAUCUUUUUCGUGUUUUCAUGUGUCGCCGAAUUUUGUGGUUGAGUUGCCUCAAGGCAUAUGGAUUAUAAAUGUAGUUUUUGAGUAUAAAUUGAUUCCCGCUCCACUGUUGUGAGCGGAAUUCUAGCGCAAAUUUCUUUUUUGGAAUUUGAGGCUCGUAUUCAGUCAUUUUGGAGUGAAGCUGUGUUUUGAAUGCUAAUCUUUAGGCGCUAGGCGAUCAGCUUAGCGGUGUAAACGAAGCAGGUCGAACUCAGGCUGCUUUUUU
rnacentral:misc_RNA from 1 species